GGUUCCCAGACCGUUGGUGGUUUGGUGUUCAUCUUCUGUUGGCCACAACAAGGUUGAUUUGGCCGAUUUCGCUAGAACAUAACGCUUUUAGAUUUUGUCAUAGAGCUAGUUCUCAAAACUCAUGGAGUAACUUAGGGGUGUGAAACUGCUAAACAGAAUAACCGGAUAUAUCCGAUGGUCUAGGUCCGGUUUAGAUUUUCUUUAUUAUUUUGAGAAAAAAAAACCGGUUUGGUUUGGGUCAAUAUGAGAGGAACCGCAUAAUUUUGAUUCAGGUUUUGGUUCUGAUCAUGAGAAUCGGCUUAAACCAGACCAACCGGGUAGUGCUUCAUAUAUUUUAAACCGAACCGUUUGUUCUACUUAUAGUCCAUUACACGUGACACUGAAAAGCGUUAUUACGUGAUGAAGCGCAGGAUAAGCAUAAAGGCAACGGACGAGGUCUAUAUAAUGGUUUCGCGGCCUCUCUACGCGCUAUUCCAAUCGGUAACAAUCCUCUUCUUCUUCUCUCCUCCUCCUUUCUCCCGCCUCGUCGACGACUCCGAAACCUACGAAACCGAAGUGCGAACGAAACCCUAAGUGUGAUGAAGGAUCGGAUCCCUCUUCCACUCCCUCGAUCGAAUCCUCAAUUUGAGCCGACAUUGAUCUCGAUCUCGAACUGUGUUGUCGAUUUGAUAUCAAAGGAUCCCUGAUCAAUUAAAGUCUAAGUACAUUUUGAUCUAAGGAAACGAGAUGAUUCUUUGAGGAAGCUGAUUGAUAAACGAACGAGAAGAAGAAAAGGGUUUAGCUGGCAUCCAAAUAUGGGACUCAAACUUCAAUCGGCCGCCUGCCUGCAAUCCUUCUUGGCCGGUGAAACUGUUGGACGAACAGGACUCAUCUUUCAUGCGGGCUCUCUUUCACUGGGAAAGCAAUCUACGGAAGUCUUCUCACUUGGAAAGCAGCUCAUGAUCAUUUGAUGAAAAUAGACAGAUUCAUAAAAAUAAGUACAAAGGCUAUUCAGUGAGUUUAGAUGGAAGCCAGCAAAUAGCUGCCAAGGGAAUAAAGAACCAGAGCAAGAGAGUCAAGAUAUCUGAUAGCAGUAGAGAAGAACAUUGCUCUGAUUUAACAAUGAGGCAUAAUUCAAAGCAAAUCUCCUUGUCCAGAGACGAGAGCUUGGUUUUGCUAAUUUACAAACUUUGUGCACCAUAACUUACAUGCAAAGGGGUAGUCUAAUUUGUUCAUGUAAGGAUUUUGCAAGAUACAGACAUCUCUAGUAUGAUUCCUGAACUCUAAUAUUUUUAUCUGAAAAAAACUAAUUUUUAUCUAUCCUCACAUGUCUAUUGUUGGAGUAUCAUGGAAUUUUGUACCUAAAUUAAUUGGGACAAUUUCGUAAGUUUGUAUGGGAAUUGUCGAGUUUUUAUUUGCAUGGCAUUAUACAUGGAUGAUCUUAUAAAUGAUAAUUACCUUCGUCUAAUGCAAAUUAUAGCGUCUAAUUUAAUUAAAUUGAAAAAUCAAUUAGAAUGAGGAUUCAAAGUGUUACAAAAAAGAUACAUGCAUCUCGAACCUUUGCAUUAAAAGAUAGCUAUGGAGAAAGGAGCACAGGUUCUAGAGGGAGAUAAAUCUCCUUUUCGGACCUAAUAUUCAUUCACAAAAUUUGGGUAGUGUAAUAUAUGACCAGUCACAUUUUCAGAUGACAACAUGGUAAUUGCAGCAGCAAGAUCUUCCACGUUGACCUCUUGUUUUCAGGUGUCACUAAGUUUUGAUUUCGGCUGCAUAAUGGUAGAUGCCUCUUUAAUUGCUUGGAGGUUCCUUCCAACGAUCAGCUUUAUUGCCUCUUUCUUUCUUUUCUUUCCCUUAUAGUUUUUGUCAUUAUGUGAAAGCAUCAACCUACUACGAAUACGACGUUAAAAUAGUUUGAUUAAAAAUUUACAUGGACCCUCUCAACUAUAGGCCAUUUUGAAAUUGAACCCUCAAUUAUUUUUCUUUUGAAUUUGGCUUCCUCGACUUUUGAUUAUUUUGAUUCAUGCUAUUUUCACUUGGAGAAUUUGGGGCUGUCAAACAGCUUUAAUUUUUAAUGAUUCUCCUCUUCUAAUGUAUGAAAAUAAUUAAAAAAAUAAAAUAAAAUAAAAUUUGAGGGAAUAUCAAUCGGAAGAAAAACAACUGAGGGGUCUAUUUCAAAAUAACCUAUAGUUUGAGCGGGGAUCCCUUUAACUUUUUUCCCAAAAGGUUUUCUGCUUUUAACAAUCCAUGUUUACUUCAUCUUUUAUUCCAGCACUCAUAUGGCUGAGCUUUGCUUUAAAUAUUUUGAUAUUUGAAACAACUUGGCUAAUUGGUAUCUCAGGCUUCCUACUUACUGCUAAAUUUGCUUCAGUAUCCAGCAUCAUAUAUUUUACUCGAUGACGAUGAAAUAGUUUGUUGUAAUAUAUGUUGAUUUUGUGAUCCUCUAUUACUUUAAUGUAGUGCGUGUAUAACACAAAGGUUGUCUGAUUUAAACUUCUUCGCUUUCAGUCAUUUCAUGUUAUUUCUUUCUUAACUUGCAAGUGUGCAUAAGAACUUACAGCUACUUGCUGGAUACAUGCCUGAAUUUUGUGAGAAAAUCAUUGUAAGCUAUGUAGGGAAUUUGACUAGGUUUACAGAGGAUUUUAUCCAUCCCUAUGUUAGGAAUGUGACUAGGUUUACGGAGUACUUUAUCCCUACCUAUGUGAAUUUCAGAUCUGGUGAUUUUUUUUUCUCUUUUUUUUUUUUGUAUCUCUCUCUCAACUUUAUUUAAUAAUUUGUUUUUUUGUAGACUUUUGUAUUUUUGACUGCCAUGUAAGGUACCCCAGGGAUGGUUCUUAAAGAGAGAGAGUGAGAGAAACAAAAGGGGAAAUUUCUUUGAUUUGUUACAUGAUAGCAGCAUCUGAGUGAUUGGUAAGUAUCUUCUAUAUGAUAUAGGAGCAAAUUUCUGUUGCAGCUGCUUUAUCGGAAGUGCACUGCUUCAAUAAUGUCGGAUAUAACAAAGUAUGCCUCUAUAACAUUUCCUCUGCAUAUAUUCCCUUACAAACCGAAUUCAUUAAAUUAAUUAUCAUGCUACGUAACUGCCACACAUAUUCUUGCUAUAUCAGCAAGGCAAAUUUUUCAGUAUCUGGGUUAUAGUUGAAAAAGAUGCUUGGAUUGUACGAGCAAGUUAUAGCCUUUUGUUUAGAAGCCCCCACAUAAACUGUUAACGAGCUGAGACAAAUUGUGGAGUCCAAGGGAAAGUUUAAACUUGAGAGGAUAAUACCUUUGGAGCAGUCAUAAAACGGUUCAACAAUUAUUUACUCGUCAAGAAUGACGAAUAGUUCCGAGUAGAGCCUCGACUACGACUACCCAAUAUUUCUUGCUUUUGCAAAUGAAGAGCACCACUCUACCUUGAUGUUAGUGGCAUAAUGUAACUUUCUAAGUUGGUAAUCAUGUUAGUGGCAUAAUACCUUUGGAGAAUUGAUGCUUUUAUAAAAACGAAGAAUCUGACAUUCAUUAAAUGAAUAGAGUUGAAAUGGAAUUCGAACCUGUUUUUGCAAGCAUUCAAAGAAAGAACUUUUGCAUUCAAGGAGAAAGUUGAACUUGUUCAUGCAAAGAUCUCUCGUCGGACUCCGAUUGCGCUAGAACAUAACAGAAGGCUUUUAGAUUUGGUCAUAGAACCAGCUCUCAAACUCAUGGAGAAAAAAUUGAGGAAUUUGCAGAGUUUUUGCAUCUGGAGAAGAAGGAUUUAGGUAGCUGAUUUGUAAAUGAAUGAGAAGAAAAGGGUUUAGGUAAUAAAUCUGAUGCUUCAACCGAAGUACUAGAACUAGGUGUGCUAUUGAGUUUAUGGUGCCUCAUGAGUCUAUUGGAAUGCUGCUUUAUCAGAUUUUAGUGGAAUAUUCUUCUUCCAGGAGAGAAGAACGUCGCUCUGAUUUAACAAUGAGAGACAGGCGAGCUUGGUUUUGCUAAUUCACAAACUUUGUGCAACAUAACUUGACAUGCAAAGAGGUAGUCUAAUUUGUUCAUGCAAGGAUUUUGCAAGAUACAACCAUCUCUGGUUGGACCCUGAAAAUUCAAAAGGUGUACCUAGUCAGAAGGUAAAGUGUAUUGGGAAUCCCUUCGACAAUUCGCUGGCUUAAAUUGGCCACCUCCACUUAUUUUUAUUUUUUUUUCAUUGCACCUCCUUAACUUCAAUUUUUUGAAAUUACAUGAUUUUAUUUAAUUAAAAUUAUGAAUUUUAUCAAAUUAAUUAUUUAUUUCAUCAAAUUUAAUGGUUUGAUUAAUUUUUAGCGAAUGAAGUAAAUAUUUAACGUUUAAUAUUUUAACGGAAUUAUUAAAUUUUUAAAAAGUAAACUAUCUAGAAUAACUUGAAUAAAAAAAUUAUAAGUUGUGGAGGUGUUUAUUUGUUAUGGCCCAUUGUUCUUUUUUGGUGCGGUUCGACUCAUUAAUUUCGAACGUUAAGCUAUAUAGUACCGUCUUUGCUUUUAAGCUAUUGCCACUUUAUCCAUUCCCAUCAGUUCUCUUCUAGAUCUUAUUAUAAAAUGCAAUAAAAAUUUUCGUUGAUGUCUGGAAAUACUAAAAUUGCCCUUCUUCGAAAGGUAAAGGAAUGGGAUAAAACCAGGGAGUUUCUGUAUUAGUAUUUCAUUCAAAAUUUCAUUUUAUGUUCCAAAAGAUCGCUGAUAAGGAACUAACAUGAGGAGGUAAAGUAAUAACGAUUUAAAACAAUCAAAGGGUAAUGUUUAGGUUUUUAAAGUUCAGCAUGGCGAAGAAAUAACAACUAUUUAGUCAGAAGAGUCUUCUGCAUUUUAAUUCUCCUUUUUUCUAAAAAGAAAUUAAUUAGCUGUAUGUAUUAGACGAGAAUUAAAGUCUGUCUUUUUGUUUUUAUUUGAGACUGAAAUUUCAUCCUCUUUUGAGUGCUGUUGCCUGGAGAUUUCUUAACUGCACCAUAUCACGUGGAGAUCAUUUUUGGCAUGAGAAGAUACAAAGAGGAAACCUCGCAUUUACGACUACGUAGGCACUCAUUUUCACUUGGCCACAGCAAGGUAUAAUGCAGCAAACACUCCUUUUUGCCCUUGGUCCUUAGUCACCUAUUUAAACUGAUCUAUUAUGAUAUGCCGGGAGAGAUCUGAUUAUGUUUAAAAAUGAUGUGUGUUUUGAAAUUUGAAUCAUAUGUUCGUCAACAGUCAGCUAACUGUUUACUCUAAUCAAAAAAUCUUUUCAAUAAAUUGCAUUUUUUGUAAGCAUACUUCAAAUAGAUCUCCUUGUCCAACUUGAAGUAGAAUUCGGACCUAAUUUUUCCUAAUUUAAAAACUUUGUGUACCCUAAUUACGAGAAACCAAAGAACACACUUACAUGCAAAGAGAUAGUGGAACUUGAUCAUGCAAGGAUCUUGCAAUACAAUAGAAAACCC